rnacentral:rRNA from 1 species
AUAUUGGUCAAUGGGCGGGAGCCUGAACCAGCCAAGCCGCGUGAAGGAGGAAGGCGCCAUGCGUCGUAAACUUCUUUUGUCGGGGAACAAAGGGCGCCACGCGUGGCGUUGUGAGUGUACCCGAAGAAAAAGCAUCGGCUAACUCCGUGCCAGCAGCCGCGGUAAUACGGAGGAUGCGAGCGUUAUCCGGAUUUAUUGGGUUUAAAGGGUGCGUAGGCGGGCUUUUAAGUCAGCGGUAAAAAUUCGGGGCUCAACCCCGUCCGGCCGUUGAAACUGGGGGCCUUGAGUGGGCGAGAAGUAUGCGGAAUGCGUGGUGUAGCGGUGAAAUGCAUAGAUAUCACGCAGAACUCCGAUUGCGAAGGCAGCAUACCGGCGCCCUACUGACGCUGAGGCACGAAAGCGUGGGGAUCGAACAG